CAGUAGCCGCGGUAAUACGUAGGGUGCAAGCGUUAAUCGGAAUUACUGGGCGUAAAGCGUGCGCAGGCGGUUCGUUAAGACAGAUGUGAAAUCCCCGGGCUUAACCUGGGAACUGCAUUUGUGACUGGCGGGCUAGAGUAUGGCAGAGGGGGGUAGAAUUCCACGUGUAGCAGUGAAAUGCGUAGAGAUGUGGAGGAACACCGAUGGCGAAGGCAGCCCCCUGGGCCAAUACUGACGCUCAUGCACGAAAGCGUGGGGAGCAAACAGGAUUAGAUACCCCUGUAGUCCCUGUCUCUUAUAC
rnacentral:rRNA from 1 species